AUUACCCAAUCCCGACACGGGGAGGUAGUGACAAUAAAUACUGAUACAGGGCUCUUUUGGGUCUUGUAAUUGGAAUGAGUACAAUUUAAAUCCCUUAACGAGGAACAAUUGGAGGGCAAGUCUGGUGCCAGCAGCCGCGGUAAUUCCAGCUCCAAUAGCGUAUAUUAAAGUUGUUGUGGUUAAAAAGCUCGUAGUUGAACCUUGGGCCUGGCUGGCCGGUCCGCCUCACCGCGUGUACUGGUCCGGCCGGGCCUUUCCCUCUGUGGAACCCCAUGCCCUUCACUGGGUGUGGCGGGGAAACAGGACUUUUACUUUGAAAAAAUUAGAGUGCUCCAGGCAGGCCUAUGCUCGAAUACACUAGCAUGGAAUAAUAGAAUAGGACGUGUGGUUCUAUUUUGUUGGUUUCUAGGACCGCCGUAAUGAUUAAUAGGGACAGUCGGGGGCAUCAGUAUUCAAUUGUCAGAGGUGAAAUUCUUGGAUUUAUUGAAGACUAACUACUGCGAAAGCAUUUGCCAAGGAUGUUUUCAUUAAUCAGGAACGAAAGUUAGGGGAUCGAAGACGAUCAGAUACCGUCGUAGUCUUAACCAUAAACUAUGCCGACUAGGGAUCGGACGAUGUUAUUUUUUGACUCGUUCGGCACCUUACGAGAAAUCAAAGUGCUUGGG
rnacentral:rRNA from 1 species